rnacentral:lncRNA from 1 species
GGGCAAAUUCCUAAAAAAACACGCUGAUUUCAACCUUCCCAUUUCGUACAAUGUCAAAUUCCAAGCAUUUUCCCUUAGAAUUCCACAACUUUUUUGUAAAAAACGGCAAAGGAAGUUUUCAAUACACAUUAGAUUUAGAUCAAUGACGGAUAGGGCAAGAUUAUCUGCAAGUUUGAUAUAAUUUGUAUUUUCUAUUUUUAACUAAGGGAAGAAAUUUAAUCAAAAAGGGUCAAAGGCACGUGGUGCACAUCAUAUGAAUAAAGUACCCUUGAUUUUGCCAUAUGAUCACAAAAACAACAUUUCCCAAAAUGACUGCAUUCGGUAAUGGUGGUAUUACAGUAAGGGUUUGCUUCUCAUAUCGUUGUAAGCUGUAUAUGUAUAUUCUGCAGGAUAACAUGAACAGACAGACAUACAAUGAUUUGAGGCUUAGAAACAUUGUAGUCCCUCAAUUUGAC